rnacentral:lncRNA from 1 species
ACAUGUCCACGUUGUAUGUUGCUCAAGGCCCAUCUCACCUUUUCCUACAUGAUUUCCCCCCCACCCCCUGCAUCCCUUUGCCUCCCAAGUGCUUGGUUUAAAGAUGUGUGCCACCACAAUUGGCCCACAUAUUUCUUUCUUUUUUUAUUAAUUUAUUUAGUGUAUAGGAGUACACAGUCUCUAUCUUCAUGCACACCAGAAGAGGGUGUCAGAUCUCAUUACAGAUGGUUGUGAGCCACCAUGUGAUUGCUGGGAAUUGAACUCAGGACCUCUGGAAGUGCUUUUAACCGCUGAGCCAUCUCUCCAGCCCCCACGUGUUUCUUAAACUUUAGGUUUUUAGGUUCUGCCUAUAUGUAUGCUGUGUAACUGGAUUAAUGAGGUGAUGAUGAUAAAGGGUGAUGAAUAUAUUUAAUGUGAUAUGGGUUUGGAGUCAGUGCCAACCAAGUAGUAAGAUACUUGAAAAUUUAUGUAUCCUGUGCUUCUAUGUAAUUUGAUAUAGUGACUUAUUAAUGUUAAAAACUGUUACUUCUAGUAGAUAGUAAAGUAUAUUAGGAGGUAACAGUUGCCAAUGUAACUCCCAUUAGAAAUGAGAAAUUUACUUAAAACAAAAAUCCUCAAAUCCUUCCCAGGGCAUCUAAUACUGAAGGUAUGAAGAUGUGCUAUUUUGUCCAUCUCAGAAAACCCAGUCCUUUAUUUGUAGUGGUCAGUGAGGAGGGUGAAAUUCUUUUAUUCAUGAAUUCCAAACAUUGGGGUUUACCAGUGUAUUACCCAUCUUAAGUUGCUAGAAAAGUCAGAAGCUGGUGAUUUAGACCAUUUGCUACAUGAUAAAAGUGGCUCAUGAUUGAGUUUGUCUUCUGUGCUCUUGUUGCCUUCCUCAAGCCCUUUGAAUGUGGUUUUAAAAAUAUUUAUGUUUAGUUUAUGUGGAUAUGUGUAGGUGAGUGCAUCUGUGGGGUCAAGCUGUCAGAGCAGCUCUUGAGCUGGGUUGUUAAGGCUUUGGGAGCCACCUGAAGUGGGUGCUGGGAAUCUGAACUCGGGUCCUCUAGAAAAUCAAAACCUGCUCUUAACAGCUGAGUUCUCUCUCCAGCCCCUGAGUACUGGUUAUUUCCUGGAUUGAGGAAAUGAAUCCCAGAACACUGCUGAGUUGAAAAGAUCUCUGCAAAAGUUAGGUGUUGGGCUGCAAGACAGCUUAAUAGCUUCAUCACCAAGAAUACAGUCCUUGGGACCUACAUAGUGGAGAAAGAACUGACUCUUAGACCUUGUCCUCUUGAUCUCCACAUUCAAGCUGUGACAGGCAUGCCCUGCUGCACAUCUGCAUAAACCAAAUCAACGGAAUGGGGUAGAUCUCCCACCUCCCUCUUUUAAUUUGAGCUAUUGGCAGAGUAAAUUCCUUUCAGUCAAUUUUCUCCUGAUUUUAAAAAGAAAAUCAUUGUGAACAAAUGAAAGCUUUCAUAUGUGGAAAGAAACAUGCAGCUUUGUUUAGCAAUGCUAUUACAUAGCUCUGGCUGUCAUUGAACCUGGCUAUGUGUGUAGACCAGGCUGCUCUUGCCUCUGUGUGUGUGUUUAAAUGUGUAAAAGUUGCCUUUUUUAGUUAUGACAUAUUUGGUCCUUUGGAACAAGCAACUUGCCCAAGGAACUUUUAAAAGGCUAUAGAAG